CAGUCGCCGCGGUAAUACGUAGGUCCCGAGCGUUGUCCGGAUUUAUUGGGCGUAAAGGGAGCGCAGGCGGUUUAGUAAGUCUGAAGUUAAAGGCUGUGGCUUAACCAUAGUACGCUUUGGAAACUGUUUAACUUGAGUGCAAGAGGGGAGAGUGGAAUUCCAUGUGUAGCGGUGAAAUGCGUAGAUAUAUGGAGGAACACCGGUGGCGAAAGCGGCUCUCUGGCUUGUAACUGACGCUGAGGCUCGAAAGCGUGGGGAGCAAACAGGAUUAGAUACCCGUGUAGUCCCUGUCUCUUAUACC
rnacentral:rRNA from 1 species